UAAUGAAUUGACAAAUUAAAAAAUAAAUAUUUAGUCAUAGAAGAGACAUUCUUGAACAUAAAAAAUUGUAUAAAUUAUUUGUUUUAAAUAUUAUUACAUUUUUUAAAUUUGUUAUGGACAAAUCCAGGCCUUUUUGUAUUAGAAAUAUAUACAUAAAAAAAAAUAAUAAUUAUGUAAAAUUUGUAGUUAUUUUUACAGUUAACAUAUUAUGCACUAAUAAAAAUUUGGUUGGUUAAAUAGUUUAAACAAUUAUAUAUAUCAAUUAUCGUUUUAUUAUUUUUAUUCAUUGGCAUAGUUCUAUUUCAUAUAAUUUCUAUUUUAUGUUAUAACUCACAGGCUGUUUCCUUAUAGUCUAGAAAUUAUGACUAAAACUUAUGACAUAACUUAUUAUAACUGUCACUUGUUAGUGUAUUAAAAUAUUCCAAUCUCAUGCAUAUAAUAUAAUUAUACUGCCAAAUAUUUAUUUAUAUUGAAUUAAAUUUUUUAUAAAACAAAGUAUGAUUUUACAAUUGUUAUCACAUUAAAUGGAUAGCAUACACUAUAAACAAUUAUCCUCGUAAAUCAUGAUUAGUAUCAUGAGAAGUAAAAAUAGUAUCUAUGUGUUUUAGAUAUCAUAAAAAUCAUUUUAAUUAUAAAAUAAAGUCUAAAAUAAUUUAAUAAGAAAUAAUUAUUAAAUAACAUUUAUUGUAAGAAACAGUUCAUUAUUGUAUUUUAAGAAUAUAAAUGUAUUUUAAAAACCAUUAUAACUUAUAUUUGUAUAAAAGAUGUAUAAUUAUAUACUUCAAUAAAUAAUUACAAUGUAUGCCCAUAAAUAUAUAUAUUUUUUAUAACAUAAGAUUUAUAUUUUAAAUUUUAUUAUAAUUAUAAUAUAAAUUGUGUCUUAUGAUUAUAUAUCACUUAUUAAUAUUGUUUUAAUGUAAUAUAAUAAAAUAUAUUUUGUGUACUUAUUGAAAAUAUUGUAACUGGUUUGUUUAAAAUUAUUAAUUUGUUUCAAUGGUAUUAGGUAUCAUUUAAUAAUGUAUGUAUUUAUUUUUAUUGAUUAUAUUUAUAUUUAAUGUAACAAAUCCAAAGAAUGCAAUAGUAGUUAUAGCAAUCAUUUAAGCAACGUGUUAACAUGAUUCAUUGUUUAUGAUAUUGUUAUUGUUAAAAACAAUUCUUUUAGUUAUUACUAAAAGUAAUCAUAACUAUAUGAUUGUUGCAGUUGUAUCGUUAUAAAAAACAAAUGAUUAAAAGUAUCAUACAAUAAAUUAUUAAAUUUUGUCUUUAAUUGCUUAAUAGAAUAGAUAGUUUAAUAUAUAUGUUAUAUUAAUUUUCUUAAUAGUGUGUAAAACAAUUAUAUAAUUAUAUAAUUUUUACAUGUGAUAUUGUAAGUGCUCAGUUUAUUCAUUAAAUUUAGUGUUUAUAGUUAUCCUAAAAUAUGUAUCAUAAUAUAGUUAAAUUAAUAAAAAAAUAAAAAGUAUUUUAUGUAUCAAAUAUAUGUGACUUGAGAUACAUGAUAUACUGGUACUAAAUAUAUAUAAUGCUAUAUUGUUUUGCUAUGUAUAGAUAAAUUAAGUAUUAAGUUUACAUUAUAUGGGAGUACAAAUUUAAAUUUAUAUGUCAUAGCAUAGUAAGAUAUGAGAUAUUCUAAUCAAUGAAUUUUAUAUAUUUUUUUUUUGUUUUAUACCUAAUAAAUAUAGAAAAUAUGUAUAUAUUUUGUUAUAAAUAAUUAUGUAUAGUUCUUAACAAUAAUUAUUUUCUCUAUUUAACAAAAUCUUCAAUUCAUUGAUAAUAUUAAAUUGAAUACAUUAUUCAAAUUGUAUAACAAUUUAUUUUACUUUUAAAAUAUAGCAUAACACCUGCUUACUUUGAAUAACAAAUCAAAAAAAUAAAUAUUAUUUGUUAAUAUAAUUAGUAUCACACAAUUACAAAAGAUAUCUCGCGUUAUUAAGAAUACAUUUUACACUUAAUAUUAUUUAAUUGUGCAUGUAAAAAAAAUACUAUUUAUUUUAAUAUAACUGUGUCUCUGUUCUAAAAAAGUACUCUUAUAUCAAAUAUGGGAAGUAAACUAUUUUAGUCGAGAGUAUAAGCUACAGGUACACGAUGCAUUUGUCCAAGACUGAAAUUGCCUUUCAACUCAAACCACACAUAUUACAUAUUUUUAUAACACUUCUAUCUUAUCAUUAUUAUGAUUAUCUGUUACAAACUGUUUUUGAACUAACAGCACAAGAGUAUCUCACCCAUCAUCUCUCUAAAAUGUUACCUGUGGAUGCCCUUUCUAACUACCUACUAGUAUUUAACAUUUGUAUAUGUAAAAUAACAUGUCAUGAUUCACUGAUUCAUCAUCUAACAAGAACUACUUUAGCUAUGAGUAUGAAAUUUGGUUUGUAUUUUUGUUAUAUAUUGUAGACCCAAUAAGAAAGAAUUUUUCCAAAAUUAAUUUCUUUUAAAGAGGUUAAAAGAAAUGAAAAACAUUAUUUCUUGGUUAAUUAUUUUUGGAACUUAGUAUACAAACCUUUUAAUAGUCAUUAUAAUAGUAUACAAUUGUACCUUUAUUUUAUAUUUGGUUAAAACCACUCAAAUGAUUGUUUAAAAUGCGUGUAGUUUUUAUUUAACUGAAUUUAAUACAGAGUAAAUCUAUUAGUAUUAAUUUAUUUGUCAUAAGCAACACCGAGCAAGAUCAGCUAGUAAUAAAUUAUAUGUAUCGAUACUUUAUGUAUAUUAAUCUGGUUUAGAUUAUAAUUUUCUGACUGCUGCAUGGUGAAUGUUUCCAUUUUUUACUCACUGUAUUCUACAAUUUUCACUUAAAUGUCUGUUGGAGAUUAAAAAAAAAAAUUUACAGUAUUUUAAGAAAGUAGCAAAAAGAAGUAAAAAAUUGAACUUUGAGUUUAGGCAUGACAAAAAUUAGUUUUACAUUUUCAGCGUAUUUAAAUUAAAGAAUAAUGAACAAUAAAUUUUAUGUACCUAAUCUUAAAACUUAAAAAUAUAUCUCAUGUCAAAUUUGGAAAUUGUAGUAUAUUGAUAUGAGUUACUUACAUUUUUAAUUACCCCUAUUAAUUAUUACAUUUGUUUUACUUCUAGAUGUAUCAAUUUACUUGGAACGAACAUGAGCAGUAUAUAUAUAUAUUAAGUAAAAACAUUUUAAUUACAAUAUUUAAAUAUUUUGUUAAAUGAAAACAGUUUAUAUGAUGUACAGUUGAUGUAUUCAUAUUGACUCAGAUUGUGGAAAAUGGCAGUGAUAGAACAUUGGAAAAGUUUGUGGUAUAAGAUUUAAUAUUUUUUUAAUGGUAUUCAUUUGGUUGAUGGUGAAGAAGAAAUUCACUGCCCUAACAAAUGCGGUCGUAAGUAUAAGCACAAAGGCAGUGUGGCUAGACACUUGAAGUAUGAAUGUGGAGUGAAUCCUAAAUUCCAAUGCAUUAUUUGCCGCAAGCCUUUCAAGCAACGUAUCAAUCACAAGAUACAUAUGAUUAGAAUACAUAACUGCGUCAUGUGAAUGAUGACAGUAUAUUAUAUAAAAUAUUGUUUAUUUUAAAUUUAUAAAUUUAUAAUUAUUUAUUAUUGAAUAUUUGUUAUACGUAUAUUUGAAAAUGAUUUUAACUGUUGUUUUGCCAUGAAAUAAAUUCUAUCCUAUUAUUAUACCAAAAUAAUAUUUUAUUAAAAUUAAAUUUUAUGAUAUACUUUGGUCUUGGGUUGUUUGUUUGAAAUAAAAAAUAUGUAAGAAACUAAAUUUAACAAUUGUCACCUUCUUAUCUAUAAAUCUGUGCUUUAAAUAUAACUACUAAAUGGUUAGAUUAUUUGUUUGUAAAUAUUGUAAAUAAAACCAUUCAAUAUCUAUUUAUUUUUUCACAGAAAUACGUAUACUAAGUACUAUAUCAUUAGUCAACAGUGUUGAAGAAGUGAUUUAUUGUCCUCAAAAUUGUGGCAAAAGUUAUAAAAAUGUAUCUUGUUUAAAAAAACAUUUAAAAUAUGAAUGCAACAAAGCACCACAAUUUCAGUGUCGAUUCUGCGAUAAAAAGUGUAAAAGGCCUGAUAAUUUAAAAAAUCAUAUGCGGUUAGUGCAUGGUUAUGGUAAGAUUGUAAUAGUUGAGAGUCUUUCUGAAGAUGAAGUUUUUGAAGAAGCAUAAGUUAUGGAUUUUUUUGUAAUUCAAAAUAUACAUACCUAGUAAAAAGUUUUUAAGAAAUUAAAUUAAGAAUAUUUACAUGUAACUACUAAUAACUUGAUUAAUAUUAAAAUGUUAUAGUUUUAUUUUUUUUUCAAAAUAUGUUAUUCAAAUAAAUAAAAAUGAAAAUCAUAAGCUAUAAAAUGUAUUAAUUUUUAUUUUAUAAUUUUAAUUGCUUUGAAAAAUAUAUGGUAAUUAAUAAAUAUACUAUGUUUAGCAAAUUGAAGAAGCAAAUGAGCUGAGAUAUAAAGAUAUUAAGAGUGUGUGGAUGAUCACUUUCUAGUAUCAACAUUGUUUUAUGCACAAAGGCAUUAAUAUUUACAUUUAAAUAAUACUACAUCAUUGUUAAAUAACUCUGAAGAUGUAUACAUAUGUCCUCAAAAUUGUGGUAAAACUUACAAAUAUUAUUCCAGCCUUUACAAACAUUUAAAAUAUGAGUGUAAUAAAACACCACAAUUGAAGUGUCUCUUCUGUGAUAAAAUGGUUAAACGGCCUGAUAAUUUAAAAAAUCAUAUGUUAAUAGUACACAAAUAUGUGGCAAAGAGUAAAAACAAUAUUUAAUUUAUUUAAAUUAGUUAAUAAAUUUUCAGAUGAGUAAUAUCUUUAAAAAAAUUAUUCUAUCUAAUGGUUAGUUUUCAUCAGGUACAAAUUGUUAGGCAUAUUCUUUUAUUGUUAUAAAUGUUGAUGUUUUUAUUAAUUAUAUAUUUAUUAUGAACUUUGGUAUAAUUUUUUUUAUAAUGAAUAAAUAUUUAAAUGUACCCAUUUUGUUUGUAUUGAAAAUUAAUUAUUAUAUUAUAAAAUAAAGUUUUAUUUAUUUUUGUGUGUAUUUUAAGUUUUAACCUUAUUCAUCCCUAAUUACAUGAUAUUUUUAUCAUUUUUAAAAUUAUUUGUUUUAAUGCAAGUUGACUUUUGCAAUCAAAGUUAUUAAUUUAAACGCAAUUAAUUUGUCCAUCAAAAAUUUGUGGAGUUCAACCAAAAUUUAGCUUUUAUGUUUGUUUCAAAAAAUUUUUUCACAGAUAAAGUCUACAGAAUCAGUUGUUUCACCCCAAACAUCCCCAAACGUCAUUCUGCUUUAGGGAAACCGGUUUCAAUAGUUUUCAAUAGCAGAGAGACGUGGGGGGGGGAUGCGCGAAUCAUAUGCGUUCUCUCUUGGUACGGAGUAUAAUAUAUAUAUAUAUUAUAUUAUAAGUAAUAUUAUUGAGGUUCAUAAUUGAGACUAUAUUUUCUAUAGGUACUUAAUUUUGAUUAGUGGAACCCAUUUUAAAUUUAACUCAAUGUGUAUUGUUUUUACUUUUUAUGCUUUAAUUAUAUGCAUAUUUAGUUUUUUAAAUUUUUAACUAAUGCUUUGGGUUAUUUUAAGAUUUGGAGUAUAUUUAAUUUUAAAAAGAUUACUUAGAAAAUAAUGUUAUUUGUUUUAGUGCCUGUAAACUGCUUUUUUUGCAACAAUUGUGGUCGAAGUUAUAAAUAUAAGCGUAAUUUAUUUGCACACCAGAAAUUUGAAUGUGGAAUUCAACCAAAAUUUAAGUGUAACGUUUGUUUUAAACAAUUUGCUCUCAGAGGAGUUUUACGAAAACAUUUGAUCCUGGUUCAUAAAAUAAUAUAAUUAUUACAACAAUUAAAAUUUGUUUUAAAAUGUUUUCUGUAGAGGAAGUUGGCAGAAUCAUUAAGUUAUGAAUGUUAUGAUUUGUAAAAUAUUAGAAUUAGUUAACAAUUAAAAAAAGUUUAUUAAACUGUAUAACUUCAUAAAUAAAUCCAAACUUCAAAAAAUAGUAUGAAAAGUAUAAAUGAUGUAUGUUUUAAUUUUAUUUUAUUAAUAAUGUACAUCACAUUUUAAAUCUUAUAUUAUACCAAUUUAAUGACUGAAUUAAUAGGUUAUUUAUAAACUAUCUUAAAACUAUCACAAUAUAUACUUACAAAUUGUUUAAGAGUAUAACAAUUGUUAUUUAAUUAGUUAGAAAAAUUAUAUUUUUAAAACCAUUGUAAU